rnacentral:rRNA from 1 species
CCUACGGGUAGCAGCAGUGAGGAAUAUUGGUCAAUGGACGAGAGUCUGAACCAGCCAAGUAGCGUGAAGGAUGACUGCCCUAUGGGUUGUAAACUUCUUUUAUAUGGGAAUAAAAUGUUCCACGUGUGGGAUUUUGUAUGUACCAUAUGAAUAAGGAUCGGCUAACUCCGUGCCAGCAGCCGCGGUAAUACGGAGGAUACGAGCGUUAUCCGGAUUUAUUGGGUUUAAAGGGAGCGUAGGUGGAUUGUUAAGUCAGUUGUGAAAGUUUGCGGCUCAACCGUAAAAUUGCAGUUGAAACUGGCAGUCUUGAGUACAGUAGAGGUGGGCGGAAUUCGUGGUGUAGCGGUGAAAUGCUUAGAUAUCACGAAGAACUCCGAUUGCGAAGGCAGUUCACUGGACUGCAACUGACACUGAGGCUCGAAAGUGUGGGUAUCAAACAGGAUUAGAUACCCCUGUAGUC